CAGAUUUUCCACCGAGGGGACCGAAGACAUUCACGAUGCCACUCCUAUUUCGAGUUGUGUCAAGGGAAGAGUGGAAUACUUUUAAAGAAAAGAAGAGAUUGAUUAAAUAUUGUUCUUGAAAUAUUUUAUUCACAAUAGCCCUAUGGUAAUCGAUGGCUUUCAUAAUGGCGACCGGUCUUAUUCAUAUGACCACAAUAGGUGGUUGAUGGCUUCAAGGAUCCACCUCCACCCAAAUAUCCGAGACAGAUGGGCAGACUGGAAACCCAGUGACAACACUCAGGUCUGUAGCUGCCAUUUUCCGGUGGGAAAGAGAAAUGGCCCUGUAUUUACCAGAAAAGGUAGCUCAUCCACCAUGGCAGAAGAGGAAGAUUCAGAUGGUUGAUUGGGAAACAAGAACAAACAAUGAGGCAUGAUGAUUGGUUGUUGAGGGACUGCUUGUCACAUUGUCCAAGUCCAACAGGAGUGCAUCUCUCAGACCAUCUGGGGCAUGGACAUCCUGUACCAGUCUGAUCCGAGCAGGAGUAUCCAUUUGUACAGCACACGAGCCUGUGGACGGACAGACAUGAGGUGUGACAUGUGGAACAUCAGGCACACCCCACGACAAGGAGUGCAUGAUCAACACCACUCUCAGCAAGGAGAUCUGCUGGAAGUGAUGUGCUCUCUCACUCAUCAUUUUAACAUCACAAAUAUAAAUUCCCACUGAGCCCAUGAUAAAAUGCAAUGUGAAUUGUGUCGUACUUCUGAAUGAAACUGUGAGGAGAAGCACUCAGACCAGCCUUUGUGAUUGAACUUAUGUUAACCUCAUUACUUUAGUUGGCUGCUUUGAGCAAAACUUAAAUGUAAUAUAGCCUAUUCUAGGAGCCUAUUGUUUGUGUAUGAUCUUUAUUGACUGUUCACUUGUUUUUCAACAAUAUCAAGUACGGGCAGGGAUGACUGGGGCCUUCAGCAAGUAAGACACGGGAUAAGAAAUAAUUUCAACAUCACAGAUAUAAAUUCCCACUGUGCCCAUAAUAAAGUUAACUACAUUACUUUAGUUGUCUGCUUUGAGCAAAACUUGUAUGUAAUAUAACCUAUUCUGGGAGGUGUGUGUGUGUGAACUAUAUGGAAUAUUUCUGGACCUUUUGGCUUCUAUGAAAACAGGUACUGGCAGGAGGAGCAAUGUGAGUGAGGUCGUCGUGCUGGAUGGUGAUGGAGGCUUUGGUGGUCCACACAACGAAGAAGCAGGUGUUCCUUCCUGUGAUGUGGAGCUGACCUUUGACCUGGCGCAAGUGAGGGAGGUCUUCCCUCCUUGAUUUAAAAAUCCUCAGACUUCACUGCCUCUUCAAUGGUAAGGUCCAUUGCACCAUAGGGACACUUGAUCUACACCACUGCUGUGGUACACCAGUAGGCGCCCAAGAGCCCCGACCAAAGCCCUGACUCCUGCACAUCCAUCCCUGUAGUCAUUUUGAAUACCUUGAUGCCCUCCUCUUCAUUAUCUGCCCCACUUUAGAGACAGCACCCCAUCCAAUGACUGAUCUGAGAACCCUUUGUAGCAGCGAUGUAGUAACGCGCUUGGCCUAACCACUGUUCCAUAAUUGCUGGCUGUCAACUACCCUCCUGAUGGUGUGUCAGUUGGGGUUGGUGCGCUAUCCAACUGUUGCCUGCCGUAUAGCCUCCUGCUGCUACACCGACAGCGCCAUGCCAGCCAGGAUGCCUGCAUGCCCUUGUUUUUUUUCUUCCAUUUUUUUAAAAGCAAUGUCCGGUACGGACAGGGAUCGCAGAGAGGGUAGCGGUUGUUCUGGCUCAGGUUCAAGGAGACGUGCUAUUCCACUGAACCUGCCACAAAGAUGGUUCCUUAGCCAUUGAAGCUCCUCCUCUGUGGGCUCUCGGGGACAGAGGGUUGUAGUCUUCGACUGGGUACAGGUCCUCCACUGACUCUACCUGGUUGGGCACGGCUGUCUUCCUCCACUCGCAUUCCACGUCCGUACGGCCGAUAUUGUGAACCGCCAAAAUUGGCUGCAUCACUACACUUACGGGCUCCACGGAGACGUUUGCAUGUGGGAGAGAGAGUGCCCUGGUCACUUAUAGAGACCUGCCAAGAUGAAGGAUGUUAAGUGCCACACGCCUUUCAAUACAUGACUUUAAACACCUUGAAAUGCAUUCGUUGUAAGAAAUGUGAUAUGUAAAUAGUUUGAUUUGAUUAAUGACAUAAACAUAAAU